GAACGCACAUUGCGCCCCUUGGUAUUCCGAGGGGCAUGCCCGUUCGAGCGUCAUUAUAACCCCUCAAGCCCAGCUUGGUGUUGGGGCCUGCUGUUGCCGGCAACCCUUAAAAUCAGUGGCGGUGCCAUCUGGCUCUAAGCGUAGUAAUACUUCUCGCUACAGGGUCCCGGUGGAUGCCUGCCAUCAACCCCUAAAUUUCUAUGGUUGACCUCGGAUCGGGUAGGGAUACCCGCUGAACUUAAG
rnacentral:misc_RNA from 1 species